GUUCUCACCCCAUGUGGUUUUGGAGAUUUCAGGUUCACACGCGAGCGACGCGACGACGCGAGGAAAGGGCUACUUAGGAUUGUGAAAAAAGGAAAGAACUAAGUUAUAAAUAAUUUGUAAUAAUUAUGAUAAAGCUAGAUUGUAUUUGGAAGCUAAAAGGAUUAAAGAAGUAAAAUGUAAAAUGUAUGUAAGAUGAAUGUGGGAAUGCUUGUAAUAAUUUAGCAUUUAUGUUUUUGAUACCUUCCUUGU
rnacentral:lncRNA from 1 species